GGUUAUGACUUAGUGGUAGAGCACUUGCUUAGCAUGUGUGAGGCACUGGGUUCGAUUCUCAGAACCA
rnacentral:tRNA from 1 species